GCCGAAGUGGUGGAACUGGUAGACACGCCAUCUUGAGGGGGUGGUGGCCAAUUGGUCGUGAGAGUUCGAGUCUCUCCUUCGGCACCA
rnacentral:tRNA from 1 species